GCCUCUGUACCCUUAGCAGGAACAUUUCAUCGUUUCCGUAUUUCAUUACUACACGUUAACUUUGAACGUAUUGAAAUGGCAGCAUAAGCCUUCGUCGUGUGCCGGUCGUUACAACGUUACCAGAGUUAAAAUAAGGUUGUACCACACUGAGAUUGUUAAGUUCAAAACCUUCAUAAUAAUUUCAAAGUAAGCAGCGAUUCCUUAUAAACGCACUUUAACAAUUGUCUAUGGAUGAUAACUAUGAUUUGAACGCACAUCCUAAUUUUUUUUUUUGACAUUUGUCAUCUGUCAUCUGUCAAAUUAUCAAUCUAUUGACACUGACAGGUCGGCUUUCAUAAUUAUUUGUUAAAUUUGUUUAUUGUUUUAUUGAAUUCAACGCAGUGAUAUUUGCCUACGGAUACCAACGCCAAGGCCCACGGAUGGAGAGGUCGCCAGUGGUGCCUUAAUAAGUGGAAGGAACUAGCCAAGCUCAAUAGCGAAGGGACGGGACAAGGAGUGAUAAGCAAAGGAGAAAAUUAAACAUGAAACAUAACAUUAAACAUAAAAGGUUGUCAUGACAGAUUAUCCCCUCGUCUCUCAAUGAUUUCCUAAUACCUAGGUAUGGAGUGAUUAUAAGAAUAAUACAAAGAGAAAAUGCUCCCAAAUUGCCUAAGGGGGCACAGUGAAUGGUUGAUGGUUCAGCCCUAAAAUGGAUAUGUCAGAUUGAAAGCUGCCGGAGAAUGCUAUAUAAUUGAUGUGAUGAGAUAUAGAAUCAGCAUGGAACAUGUGCCUGGUACGAGGAGCCAGCCCAAUCCAGCUAUACCAGCGUAUCCUGUACCCAGCAUCACGGACCAGGCCACCGCCUGCAAGUGCACCCCCGUGAAGGCAUAAAUUAUAAGUGUGCAUUUUGAUUGCUCGGUGAAGAAUACAUUUAGGAGAAAAGAUAAAUCAUACAUUUUGUUAUACUAUGCUGAUGUUUGCAAAUGUUACAUGAUACUACCUACUAAGAUAAAUAUGUUUUUUUGUAAAAUAAAGAAUAAAAAACUGUUAAACAGAA